AUUAUUUGAAAUGAAAUGUUAUUCGUUUAUAAAGAUAUCUAGUUUUUUUAGAAAUAAAUUUAAUUUAAAAGUUUUUAAUUUUAUUAAUUAUUUAUAUUAAUUAAUAAAUUUAUAAAUUUUAAUAUUUUAAGGGAUAAGCUUUAGAAUAAAUUUUUAUAAAUUAAUAAAUUAUAAUUAAAAUUAUAUACAUAGAAUUAGUAAUUAUUAAAAAAUUUGUUAUAAAUUAUUUUAUAAAAUAUAUUAUUUAUUAUAAUUUUAAAUUUUUAUAAAAAUAUAUUUUUUAAUUUUAUUUAAAAAGUAACAAUGAUAAAAUUAGUAUAUUUAUAUUAUGUAAAUAUAAUUUAUUUUGAUAAGUUUAUAUAAAGAACUCGGCAAAUAUUUUACUCGCCUGUUUAACAAAAACAUGUCUUUUUGUGUUAUUUUAAAAGUCUAACCUGCCCAAUGAAUAAAUUUAAUGGCCGCAGUAUUUUGACUGUGCAAAGGUAGCAUAAUCAUUAGUCUUUUAAUUGAAGGCUUGAAUGAAUGGUUGGACGAAGUAUAAUCUGUUUCAUUUAAAUUUAUUAUAGAAUUUUAUAUUUUAGUAAAAAAGCUAAAAUAUUUUUAAAAGACGAGAAGACCCUAUAAAUCUUUAUAAUUUAUUUUAUUUUAAUUUUUUAUAUUUAUUUUAUUUUAAUAAUUUGAAUUAUUUUGUUGGGGUGAUAUUAAAAUUUAAAAAACUUUUAAUUUAAUUAUUUCAUUAAUUUAUGUUUUAUUGAUCCAUUUAUUAUGAUUAAAAGAAUAAGUUACUUUAGGGAUAACAGCGUAAUUUUUUUGGAGAGUUCUUAUUGAUAAAAAAGUUUGCGACCUCGAUGUUGGAUUAAGAUAUAAUUUAGGUGUA
rnacentral:rRNA from 1 species